AAAAGGAAGUGAUUCCGGCGGAGGAUGGGCAUGCGGCGCAUUAGCUUGUUGGCGGGGUAACGGCCCACCAAGGCGACGAUGCGUAGGGGUUCUGAGAGGAAGGUCCCCCACACUGGUACUGAGACACGGGCCAGACUCCUACGGGAGGCAGCAGUGAGGAAUAUUGGUCAAUGGGCGGGAGCCUGAACCAGCCAAGUCGCGUGAGGGAAGACGGUCCUAUGGAUUGUAAACCUCUUUAGGCGGGGAGCAAUGCCGGGCACGCGUGCCCGGAGGGAGAGUACCCGCAGAAUAAGCAUCGGCUAACUCCGUGCCAGCAGCCGCGGUAAUACGGAGGAUGCGAGCGUUAUCCGGAUUUAUUGGGUUUAAAGGGUGCGUAGGCGGAUUUUUAAGUCAGCGGUAAAAUGUCCGGGCUCAACCCGGGCCGGCCGUUGAAACUGGGGAUCUUGAGUGGGCGAGAAGUAUGCGGAAUGCGUGGUGUAGCGGUGAAAUGCAUAGAUAUCACGCAGAACUCCGAUUGCGAAGGCAGCAUACCGGCGCCCGACUGACGCUGAGGCACGAAAGCGUGGGGAUCGAACAGGAUUAGAUACCCUGGUAGUCCACGCAGUAAACGAUGAAUGCUAGUUGUCCGGUUCUUUGGGACUGG
rnacentral:rRNA from 1 species